rnacentral:rRNA from 1 species
GACGAACGCUGGCGGCGUGCCUAAUACAUGCAAGUUGAGCGAUGAAGAUUGGUGCUUGCACCAAUUUGAAGAGCAGCGAACGGGUGAGUAACGCGUGGGGAAUCUGCCUUUGAGCGGGGGACAACAUUUGGAAACGAAUGCUAAUACCGCAUAACAACUUUAAACAUAAGUUUUAAGUUUGAAAGAUGCAAUUGCAUCACUCAAAGAUGAUCCCGCGUUGUAUUAGCUAGUUGGUGAGGUAAAGGCUCACCAAGGCGAUGAUACAUAGCCGACCUGAGAGGGUGAUCGGCCACAUUGGGACUGAGACACGGCCCAAACUCCUACGGGAGGCAGCAGUAGGGAAUCUUCGGCAAUGGACGAAAGUCUGACCGAGCAACGCCGCGUGAGUGAAGAAGGUUUUCGGAUCGUAAAACUCUGUUGGUAGAGAAGAACGUUGGUGAGGGUGGAAAGCUCAUCAAGUGACGGUAACUACCCAGAAAGGGACGGCUAACUACGUG